rnacentral:tRNA from 1 species
GGACUUGUGGUUUAGGGGUAUGACGCUCCAUUCGCAUUGGCGAGGCCCCGGGUCCGGUUCCCGGCGAGUCCA